AUGUUUUCUUCUUUUUGCUGUUCUCUAUGUGGUGUCCUACUUAAUCAUCACAAGAUACAAGAGAAAAUCAGAUGAACAAGAAGAUGAAGAUGCCAUAGUCAACAGGAUUUCGUUGUUUCUGAGCACCUUCACUCUUGCGGUGUCAGCUGGGGCUGUGCUGCUUUUACCCUUCUCAAUAAUCAGCAAUGAGAUCCUGCUGUCUUUUCCUCAGAACUACUAUAUUCAAUGGCUGAAUGGCUCCCUGAUUCAUGGUUUGUGGAAUCUUGCCUCUCUCUUUUCCAACCUUUGCUUAUUUGUAUUGAUGCCCUUUGCCUUUUUCUUUCUGGAAUCUGAAGGUUUUGCUGGUCUCAAAAAGGGAAUCCGAGCCCGUGUUUUGGAGACGCUUGUCAUGCUGCUGCUUCUUGCCUUACUGAUUCUCGGGAUAGUUUGGGUGGCUUCGGCACUGAUUGACAACGAUGCAGCUAGCAUGGAGUCUUUAUAUGAUCUCUGGGAGUUCUACCUACCCUAUUUAUAUUCCUGUAUAUCAUUGAUGGGAUGUUUGUUACUUCUCUUGUGCACACCGGUGGGCCUCUCCCGCAUGUUCGCAGUCAUGGGCCAGCUGCUGGUGAAGCCCACAAUUCUUGAAGACUUGGACGAGCAAAUUUAUAUUAUCACCCUGGAGGAGGAAGCACUCCAGAGACGGCUAAAUGGGGUGUCUUCUUCAGUGGAGUACAACAUAAUGGAGUUGGAACAAGAACUUGAAAAUGUAAAGACUCUUAAAACAAAACUAGAAAGGCGGAAAAAGGCUUCAGCAUGGGAAAGAAAUUUGGUGUAUCCUGCUGUUAUGGUUCUACUUCUUAUUGAGACGUCCAUCUCGGUCCUUUUGGUGGUGUGUAAUAUUCUUUGCCUGUUGGUUGAUGAAACAGCAAUGCCAAAGGGAACACGGGGUCCUGGAAUAGGACACACCUCUCUCUCUACUUUUGGUUUUGUGGGAGCUGCACUUGAAAUCAUUUUGAUUUUCUAUCUUAUGGUGUCUUCCGUUGUUGGUUUCUAUAGCCUCCAAUUUUUUGGAAACUUUACACCCAGAAGGAUGACACGACGAUGACAAAGAUCAUUGGGAACUGUGUGUCAAUCUUGGUCCUGAGUUCUGCUCUGCCUGUGAUGUCCAGAACACUGGGAAUCACUAGGUUUGACCUACUUGGAGACUUUGGAAGGUUUAAUUGGCUGGGCAAUUUCUACAUUGUCCUGUCCUACAAUUUACUCUUUGCCAUUGUGACAACAUUGUGUCUGGUCAGAAAAUUCACCUCUGCUGUUCGAGAAGAACUUUUCAAGGCCCUAGGGCUGCAUAAAACUCCACUCAUCCAACCCUUCAAGGGACUCAGAAGCACCCAAGCCAUCUGCAAAUGGGCAUCAGAAAGCACUGUGAGACCCGCGGUGGGCACGCAUUCUGCAAGCAAGAGCCUGAGCAGUCCGAGCUCGUGACAUUCCUGCCUGCCAGCCCUAGGGUGUCUUCACGCCGACCUCAGUGCACGUGUAGGGCCCAGGCUAGCAGUGUCUUUUGUCGUAGUCUAAGAGCCUAGCUAUUGCUGGUCUUGCUUUAUAAAUUCAGCUUUCUGGUAAGCUUGGUGGCUUCCAGCUCAGCACAGCUCCCUGCAGACGUGCAGGAGGACACUCACUGUGGCUCUUGGCAGAGGCUGUCCUGGUGUGAAGCUGUUGGAAACACAGACUGCAGCUCUGGCCGAUGCACUCUGCUCCCACUACGGGUUAACUUGGCGUGAGAUGCUGGCCUGAAAGAGCCCUGUGCUGGGGAGGCUCACGGCCUGUGGAGACAACUGCUUGUAGAGGCCGCUACUGCCGCAGCCACGUGGAAACUACUGGAAUUGGAAAUUUCUUUUUAUUUCCUUAAAAAAAGCAUAGCUUCCAAUUUAGGUUACAGACUUUUCACUAGACUUUGAGCCAAGGAAAAAUGCUAAAUUCUUUUAACCCCUGAGUCUCAGCAGCAAGCCAUAGGAGCAUCUUCUGGGCUCAUUACAGGACAUGCUGGAGAGUGUGUGUCCUCGUGGCUGGGGGCCAGUGGACCUGUGUGUGGCUCAGUAUACCUCUCGGAACACAGUUGCCAGUGUUGAGCACACGUGGAACUUAACUUUUGCCUUAUAGGC